GGGGAUGUGGUGUAUGGUGCACAGCUGCCUUGCCUGCCAGUGAGAAUACAUGGAAGUAUGCAGCGAGACGGGGUUCGACUCCCCGCGUCCCCG